rnacentral:rRNA from 1 species
GAGUUUGAUCUUGGCUCAGAUUGAACGCUGGCGGCAUGCCUUACACAUGCAAGUCGAACGGCAGCACGGGAGCUUGCUCCUGGUGGGCGAGUGGCGAACGGGUGAGUAAUGCAUCGGAACGUAUCCUGGAGUGGGGGAUAACGUAGCGAAAGUUACGCUAAUACCGCAUAUUCUGUGAGCAGGAAAGCGGGGGACCUUCGGGCCUCGCGCUCUUGGAGCGGCCGAUGUCGGAUUAGCUAGUUGGUGAGGUAAAGGGCUCACCAAGGCGACGAUCCGUAGCAGGUCUGAGAGGAUGAUCUGCCACACUGGAACUGAGACACGGUCCAGACUCCUACGGGAGGCAGCAGUGGGAAUUUUGGACAAUGGGGGCAACCCUGAUCCAGCCAUGCCGCGUGAGUGAAGAAGGCCU